UAUUACAAAUUUCAUCCAUUUCUACUGCUAAAAACUGGCAUGAUUGACGAAAUAACCAAACAAUGUUAUGUGACGUGCAAAAUGCACCUUAUGUUAACGUACAAGGACCAUUAACAAUAGAAGUGGAUGUGAUUUUUAACA
rfam:Gossypium hirsutum cultivar TM-1 chromosome 9, whole genome shotgun sequence